UACGAAGGGGGCUAGCGUUGCUCGGAAUCACUGGGCGUAAAGGGUGCGUAGGCGGGUCUUUAAGUCAGGGGUGAAAUCCUGGAGCUCAACUCCAGAACUGCCUUUGAUACUGAAGAUCUUGAGUUCGGGAGAGGUGAGUGGAACUGCGAGUGUAGAGGUGAAAUCCGUUGAUAUUAUGGGGAACACCAAAAGCGAAGGCAGUUCACUGGCGCAUUCCUGACACUGAAACACGAAAGCGUGGGUAGCGAAUGGG
rnacentral:rRNA from 1 species